GUACUCCCGCUGCAGGUGGCGACUUGUGGAACCCAGAGGAGUACCUUCUUGUUGAUCGCCACGUGUUGGGAGCGGCUAGAGAACGUCACUACAGUAUUCUGCAUGUUAUUCACCAGUUAUUUUUCCUUUCACGUCUGUUAUGCUGAAAGAUUGUAGUCUACUUUGGAAUUCGUUCAAAGGGCACUUUUGGUAUUAACCCAGACCAUGGAAGCAAGGCUGAGAAAAAAAGCAAGGAAAGAGAACCCAAAAAUAUUCAGUUUGACGAAAAAAUCAUGGAUUCUGAAUGGAA